ensembl:lncRNA
UGCUCAGACCUGAGGCACUAUAGUCACACUACCAUCUUCAGUCACACUACCAUCUACAGUCACACUACCAUCUACAGUCACACUACCAUCUACAGUCACACUACCAUCUUCAGUCACACUACCAUCUAUAGUCACACUACCAUCUUCAGUCACACGACCAUCUACAGUCAUACUACCAUCUAUAGUCACACUACCAUCUAUAGUCACACUACCAUCUUCAGUCACACUACCAUCUACAGUCACACUACCAUCUUCAGUCACACUACCAUCUUCAGUCACACUACCAUCUACAGUCAUACUACCUUCUUCAGUCACAUUACCAUCUAUAGUCAUACUACCAUCUUCAGUCACACUACCAUCUACAGUCACACUACCAUCCUUAGUCACACUACCAUCUUCAGUCACACUACCAUCUACAGUCAUACUACCAUCUUCAGUCACAUUACUAUCUUCAGUCACACUACCAUCUACAGUCAUACUACCAUCUACAGUCACACUACCACCUACAGUCAUACUACCAUCUUCAGUCACAUUACUAUCUUCAGUCACACUACCAUCUACAGUCAUACUACCAUCUACAACUGCACUGCCAUCUACAGUCACACUGCCAUUUAUAGUUGCAUUGCCAUCUUCAGUCACACUGCCACACUGUCAUUUACACCCACACUGCCACCUACAGUCACACUACCAUCUACUCUACAGCUGCAUUGCCAUCUACAGUCGCACUGCCAUUUACAGUUGCACUGCCAUCUACAGCCACACUGUCAUUUACACCCACACUGCCACCUACAGUCACACUACCAUCUACUCUACAGCUGCAUUGCCAUCUACAGUCGCACUACUAUCUACAGCUGCACUGCCAUCUUCAGACUGCCAUCUACAGUUGCACUGCCAUCUACAGCCACACUACCACCUACAGUCGCACGGCCAUCUACAGCCACGCUACCACCUACAGCCAUGCUGCCAUCUAUAGCCGCACUACCACCUACAGUCGCACUGUCAUUUACAGCCACACUGCCAUCUACAGUGGUGCUAACAUCUACGUUCAUGCUGCCAUCUGCAGUCAUGCUACCAUCUACAGCUGCACUGCCACCUACAGCUGUACUGCCAUCGUUAUCACAUGGGAGGACUGCAAGGACACCAGUGUUCUCCCACCACAUUUCACGUUUUUCUUCCUUGACAUGCCUCGUUCUUGCAUGAAUAAAGUUUCACAUUGCAUCUCUACUUCAAGAGAAACAAAGAAAAACAGUCCCACUAAACAGAAUCACCAACUUCCCGGCUAAGAGCUCAGAGCACUUAGAAUCUAAAUAGAAGACUGUUCCACGGUUGCGUUCAACAGUGACACGUACCUGACACUAUCCUAUUCGGAUAGGUCAGGAUCCAAGGGUAAAUCAGAGAGGAACCUAAUAAGACUCUUUAAUCAGUGAGUAACCAAUUAUUGAAAAUUAACAUUACAUUCAUAGGAGAGUCUGGCUAGCAGUUCCCUAGGGUGUGAUGGCAUGCUUCGAUGACAGCCUUCAGUAUUGAAGACCUGAUCCCUGUGGUGGAGGUCCAUUACAGUGAAUGUCCCUCUAGCCCACACUACAGGGUAGGAGAACAAAAUGAACAAUAAAACUAGAUAAAUCAGAGUUGGUUUCAGGCUUUUCAGGAGAAAAAAAAAUCCAAGAAUCCCAGAGACAGAUCCAACUGAGUUGGAACAUAGCAGGGCAGUCUCUCUUCUUAUCCAUCUGUCCCUCAUUUACUCAUGUGUGCAUUCAGGAAACUCCCAUGAAACACCUUGCAGGUAUGGGGACUGCAGGAAACGAAGGUGCAUAACACAGAAGACUGCUCUCCAGAAAGGGCACAGUCUGAGGUCUAUGGGGAGAUGGGCAAAGAAGAAGACAUUUGAAAAUGAAACAAAAAAGAAGGGCUAAUAGUCACUGAACACUACAUUUUUCUCCCAGCUCUGUCCUAAGGCCUUUACUCAGAAUAUUUCAUUUAGGCUGGGUGUGGUGGCUCACACUAUAAAACACAGUACUUUGGGAGGCUGAGCAGGUGGAUCACCAGGUCGGGAGAUCAAGACCAUCCUGGCUAAACACAGUGAAACUCC